UACAGAGGAGCCAAGCGUUGUCCGGAUUGACUGGGCGUAAAGCGCACGCAGGCGGACGCGCGCGUGGGGUGUGAAAUCUGGCCGCUUAACGGCCAGGCGCCAUCCCAUACGGCGGAGCUGGAGUGAUGCAGAGGUCGAUGGAAUUGCCGGUGUAGUGGUGAAAUGCGUAGAGAUCGGUAGGAACACCAGUGGCGAAGGCGGUCUUCUGGAGCACUCUUGACGCUGAGGCGCGAAAGCUGGGGGAGCGAACGGG
rnacentral:rRNA from 1 species